rnacentral:tRNA from 1 species
GCCUUUGUGGGGUAGUGGUGAGCACGCUCGGCAUGUAUUCGAGAGGUACGUGGUUCGAGUCCCGGCGAAGGUC